CCUACGUGAGGCAGCAGUGGUGAAUAUUGCACAAUGGGGGAAACCCUGAUGCCGCGACGCCGCGUGAGUGAAGAAGUAAUUCGUUAUGUACAGCUCUAUCAGCAGGGAAGAAAAUGACGGUACCUGAGUAAGAAGCCCCGGCUAACUACGUGCCAGCAGCCGCGGUAAUACGUAGGGGGCAAGCGUUAUCCGGAUUUACUGGGUGUAAAGGGAGCGUAGACGGCAGUGCAAGUCUGGAGUGAAAGGCGGGGGCUCAACCCCCGGACUGCUCUGGAAACUGUACGGCUGGAGUGCAGGAGAGGUAGGUGGAAUUCCUAGUGUAGCGGUGAAAUGCGUAGAUAUUAGGAGGAACACCAGUGGCGAAGGCGGCUUACUGGACUGUAACUGACGUUGAGGCUCGAAAGCGUGGGGAGCAAACAGGAUUAGAUACCCCAGUAGUC
rnacentral:rRNA from 1 species